rnacentral:rRNA from 1 species
GACGAACGCUGGCGGCGUGCUUAACACAUGCAAGUCGAACGGAAAGGCCCUGCUUUUGUGGGGUGCUCGAGUGGCGAACGGGUGAGUAACACGUGAGUAACCUGCCCUUGACUUUGGGAUAACUUCAGGAAACUGGGGCUAAUAACGGAUAGGAGCUCCUGCUGCAUGGUGGGGGUUGGAAAGUUUCGGCGGUUGGGGAUGGACUCGCGGCUUAUCAGCUUGUUGGUGGGGUAGUGGCUUACCAAGGCUUUGACGGGUAGCCGGACUGAGAGGGUGACCGGCCACAUUGGGACUGAGAUACGGCCCAGACUCCUACGGGAGGCAGCAGUGGGGAAUAUUGCACACUGGGAGGAAGCCUGAUGCAGCAACGCCGCGUGCGGGAUGACGGCCUUCGGGUUGUAAACCGCUUUCGCCUGUGACGAAGCGUGAGUGACGGUAAUGGGUAAAGAAGCACCGGCUAACUACGUG